UGCGCAAUGGGGGAGACCCUGACGCAGCAACGCCGCGUGACCGAUGAAGCUUUUAGGAGUGUAAAGGUCUGUCGUGAAGGAAGAAAAAGUCCGAGAAUAUAAGUUCGGUAAUUGACGGUACUUCACAAGCAAGCUCCGGCUAACUUCGUGCCAGCAGCCGCGGUAAUACGAGGGUGAAGCAAGCGUUGUCCGAAAUAACUGGGCGUAAAGGGUACGUAGGCUUUUUUGUAUGUUUUUCGGUGAAAUCCACAGGCUCAACUUGUGGCUUGCCGGAAAAACUGCAGAGAUUGAAUCCCGGAAGGGGAAAGCGGAAUUCCUGGUGUAGCGGUGAAAUGCGUAGAUAUCAGGAGGAACACCAGUGGCGAAGGCGGCUUUCUGGUCCGGAAUUGACGCUGAUGUACUAAAGCGUGGGUAGCAAACAGGAUUAGAUACCCUGGUAGUCCACGCCCUAAACGAUGUAUACUUGAUGUCGGGAUGUUCGGUCGUCUCGGUGUCGUAGCUAACGUGUUAAGUAUACCGCCUGGGGACUACGGUCGCAAGACUGAAACUCAAAGGAAUUGACGGGGGCCCGCACCAGCGGUGGAACAUGUGGUUUAAUUCGAUGCAACGCGAAGAACCUUACCUGGGCUUGACAUAUGUAUGAAGUAUGUAAGAAAUUAUGUAUUCUGUCUGUUUUUUCAGACAGCAUAUAUACAGGUGAUGCAUGGCUGUCGUCAGCUCGUGUCGUGAGAUGUAGGGUUAAGUCCCUUAACGAGCGCAACCCUUACUUUUAGUUGCCAUCAGGUAAAGCUGGGGACUCUAGAAGGACUGCCGAGGUUAACUCGGAGGAAGGUGGGGAUGACGUCAAGUCAGUAUGUCCCUUAUGUCCAGGGCUACACACGUGUUACAAUGGCCGGUACAGAGUGCCGCGAAGCCGCGAGGUGAAGCAAAUCACUCAAAGCCGGUCCCAGUUCGGAUUGGAGUCUGCAAUUCGACUCCAUGAAGUUGGAAUCGCUAGUAAUCGCAGAACAGCACGCUGCGGUGAUACGUUCCCGGGCACUUGUACACACCGCCCGUCACGCCAUGGAAGUUGGGAGCACCCAAAGUUGCUGUC
rnacentral:rRNA from 1 species